GCUCCAGCUUUUCGCCCAUCAAAAAUGAAUUUGGUUUGGGUUGUUUUUCUCGUUUUUCUCCCGGCGUUUGAGAUGACGAACAGAACGGCUUGCUUGCCUGAAGGGUCCAUCCGCGACGUGGUGACUCUUGGAAACGGGAAAAGCUAUCAUUUGUCAACAGAAAUGAAAAAUUGGUAUCAAGCAAAGGAUUAUUGCGCGGAGAAGGGCAUGCGUUUGGCUUCCCCGAAAACUCAAGAAGAACUCAAUAUCCUGCAUGGAAAAAUAAAAGAUAUUGAAGAUGGUCAUUUCUGGUUGUCGGCGUCGGACGUUGGGCGGAAAGGAGUCGAAUUCCGGUGGCUGGACGGGGAAGUGCUUCCUGUCAGCAGUUCCAUUUGGGCCAAAGAGAGGAAGCAACCGGACCAUUUUGGCGAGGGCCAAGAAGCCUGCACCUUCAUUUCAAAAUAUACUGAUACUAACAAGUUGCUCGACCAUGAAUGCAGGACAUCGUCAUUAGCCGGCAGUAUGUGUGAGCCAGUCGAUUGCGUCUAAAGAACUUCAUAAAUAUAAAUGCAUCAUAUUAUUC